GAGAGAUGAAGAGAGAAGCAAGGCAGCUGUUGGUGGUGUAGACAGAAUCAGUGUCUUCGCCACUUAGCAGAAGCAGUUGGCAGGAGCCACCCUGAUGUUUCACUUCCUUCAACCCCCACACUCUCUUACAGUGGGCUCUACGGAGUGCAUGUGGACUUUUCAUGUGGCUUGGAGCCCCACUGAUCAGGAAAUAAGAACCCAACCUGGUAGCUGUCUGGCUCACCAGGCAGGGAGAACAUGCAAACUCUACACAGGAAGACCGGAGAUCCUCUAGCUGUGAGGCGACAGCGCUAACCACUGAGC
ensembl:lncRNA